rnacentral:misc_RNA from 1 species
AACCAACUGCACACACGUCCGACUUAUCAACACAACCAGAAAACAUCAACUUUCAUCUUAUAUAUCAGCAGACUAACAUUAUACAUGUAGAUAUAUAAUCCCAUGAGACUCCAAACUCUAGGUACCUCUUUCUGAGUUUAUAUAUUUGAAAGUACUUGAUAGAAGAGAACACUACUUAGUCAAGUAAUAAAUGAGCAAGAAGAUAACCACAAAUGCUCCCACAAGGGUAGCCAUUCUUCGACUCGAUCUCUUCUCGAACACCGUCUUGAACCGGUCCAUAGUUCCCGAUAGUACUCCUCUUGAUGAAUCCAUAUCA